GACACGGUCCAAACUCCUACGGGAGGCAGCAGUGGGGAAUAUUGCACAAUGGGCGAAAGCCUGAUGCAGCAACGCCGCGUGAGUGAUGAAGGCCUUCGGGUCGUAAAACUCUGUCCUCAAGGAAGAUAAUGACGGUACUUGAGGAGGAAGCCCCGGCUAACUACGUGCCAGCAGCCGCGGUAAUACGUAGGGGGCUAGCGUUAUCCGGAUUUACUGGGCGUAAAGGGUGCGUAGGCGGUCUUUCAAGUCAGGAGUGAAAGGCUACGGCUCAACCGUAGUAAGCUCUUGAAACUGGGAGACUUGAGUGCAGGAGAGGAGAGUGGAAUUCCUAGUGUAGCGGUGAAAUGCGUAGAUAUUAGGAGGAACACCAG
rnacentral:rRNA from 1 species